ACUCAAUAGAUACCCUGGUAGUCCUGGCAGUAAACGGUGCACGUUUGGUGUGGGCGCAAUCGACCGCGUCCGCGCCGUAGCUAACGCGUUAAGCGUGCCGCCUGGGAAGUACGGUCGCAAGAUUAAAACCCAAAGAAAUUGACGGGGACCCGCACAAGCGGUGGAGUAUGUGGCUUAAAUUCGAUGCAACGCGAAGAACCUUACCUGGUCUUGACAUGCAUUGUGUCUCCGCUGAAAGGCGGAUAGGGUAGCAAUACCCGCUUUGCACAGGUGCUGCAUGGCUGUCGUCAGCUCGUGUCGUGAGAUGUUGGGUUUAAGUCCCGCAACGAGCGCAACCCCUGUGAUUUGUUGCCACCCGGUUUACCGGCGCACUCGAAUCAGACUGCCUCGAUCAACGAGGAGGAAGGUGGGGAUGACGUCAAGUCCGUAUGGCCCUUACGACCAGGGCUGCACACGUACUACAAUGCUCAGCACAAUGUGAACCCGAAGCCGCGAGGCGGAGGAAAUCAGCAAAA
rnacentral:rRNA from 1 species